rnacentral:rRNA from 1 species
AAUCAACGCUGGCGGCGUGCCUCAGACAUGCAAGUCGAACGCGAAAGUUUCCUUCGGGGAACAAGUAGAGUGGCGCACGGGUGAGUAACACGUAGGUAAUCUACCUUUGGAUGGGGAAUAACAACCGGAAACGGUUGCUAAUACCGCAUAAUGCAGCGGCACCUAAUGGUGACAGUUGUUAAAGCGGGGGAGUCGAAAGACCUCGCGUCUGAAGAGGAGCCUGCGGCGGAUUAGCAGUUGGUAAGGUAAUGGCUUACCAAGGCGACGAUCCGUAACCGGCCUGAGAGGGCGGUCGGUCACACUGACACUGACAUACGGGUC